rnacentral:tRNA from 1 species
GGUUGUUUGGCCGAGCGGUCUAAGGCGCCUGAUUCAAGAAAUUUGUUUCUUAACGCUGAUCAACACAGCGGAAUCCUCAGGUAUCGUAAGAUGCAAGAGUUCGAAUCUCUUAGCAACCA